AUUGAACGCUGGCGGCAUGCUUUACACAUGCCAGUCGAACGGCAGCGCGGGCUUCGGCCUGGCGUCGAGUGGCGAACGGGUGAGUAAUACAUCGGAACGUGCGCAGUAGUGGGGGAUAGCUCGGCGAAAGCCGGAUUAAUACCGCAUACGACCUUAGGGUGAAAGCGGGGGAUCUUCGGACCUCGCGCUAUUGGAGCGGCCGAUGGCCGAUUAGCUAGUUGGUGGGGUAAAGGCCUACCAAGGCGACGAUCUGUAGCUGGUCUGAGAGGACGACCAGCCACACUGGGACUGAGACACGGCCCAGACUCCUACGGGAGGCAGCAGUGGGGAAUUUUGGACAAUGGGCGCAAGCCUGAUCCAGCCAUGCCGCGUGUGUGAUGAAGGCCUUCGGGUUGUAAAGCACUUUUGGCGGGAAAGAAAAGGACUGUGCCAAUACCACGGUUCGAUGACGGUACCCGAAGAAUAAGCACCGGCUAACUACGUG
rnacentral:rRNA from 1 species